rnacentral:lncRNA from 1 species
UCUUGUACAGGGGCACCACUGUACUCCACCUCCACUCAUCCGGCAUCCUUUUAGUCCUAAAAAUCGCAUUGAACAGCCUAGUGAGCCACUCCCCUCCAGCUUUACCCAUGCACUUCCAGAAUUCCACCGGGAUCUCAUCAGGCCCGGUCGCUCGACCCCUACUCAUCCUACGCAAUGCCCCUAAGACCUCCUCUACCCUAAUGCGCCUGCAGUACCCAAGGUCUCUAUGGCGCUCUGACUGCCCAACUCCCCUAGCUCUAUGCUCGGAUCCCCCUCAUUAAGAAGGUCCCGAAAGUACGCCUGCCACCUCUGUUUGAUUUGCGAGUCCUCCAUCAGAACUCUACCAUCCUCGUCCUUGAUACACCUGACUUGGUCAAGAUCACGUGCCUUCCUCUCCCUUACUUUAGCCAACCGGAAUAACNNNN